rnacentral:misc_RNA from 1 species
GCCAACAAUUGAUGUAAGCUCAAAGGAAUUCUAUGGUGAAGGAUAUGAUGAUAGCGACAAGCGAAUUCCUGACAUGACCAUUAUCAAUAAACAACUUGGUUGGAAUCCGAAGACAUCAUUGUGGGAUCUGCUGGAAUCGACACUGACCUACCAGCACAGGACCUAUGCAGAAGCCAUAAAAAAAGUAAUUGCAAAGCCGGUUGCAUCAAGCUAGAUGAUGGCGAGAUUAGAUAUCUGAGAAUAGUUUACAGUAGGCAUAUUGUGCGGAUGCACUUUCGAAAUUCCUCACACAGUAGAUAAUAUAUAUGCAUCUAAGUAAUUCCCAUAAUUUUUGUCGUUAGCUUAUACUAUUGAUAUCUGUUACCUGUAUUGGUGAAAAAAAUGAAUCUUAAUGGACUUAGAUAUGUUGAUUUCAUGUAGCGAUUUUGGUUUCU